rnacentral:rRNA from 1 species
GAUGAACGCUGGCGGCGUGCUUAACACAUGCAAGUCGAACGGAAAGGCCCAAGCUUGCUUGGGUACUCGAGUGGCGAACGGGUGAGUAACACGUGGGUGAUCUGCCCUGCACUUCGGGAUAAGCCUGGGAAACUGGGUCUAAUACCGGAUAGGACCACAUUUUGGAUGGUGUGGUGGAAAGUUUUUCGGUGUGGGAUGAGCUCGCGGCCUAUCAGCUUGUUGGUGGGGUAAUGGCCUACCAAGGCGUCGACGGGUAGCCGGCCUGAGAGGGUGUACGGCCACAUUGGGACUGAGAUACGGCCCAGACUCCUACAGGAGGCAGCAGUGGGGAAUGUUGCACAAUGGGAGCAAGCCUGAUGCAGCGACGCCGCGUGGGGGAUGACGGCCUUCGGGUUGUAAAAUACUUUCGCUAGGGACGAAGCGUUAUGUGACGGUACCUGGAGAAGAAGCACCGGCUAACUACGUG